UACGUAGGGUGCGAGCGUUAAUCGGAAUUACUGGGCGUAAAGCGUGCGCAGGCGGCGGCUCAAGUCAGGUGUGAAAUCCCCGGGCUCAACCCGGGAACUGCGUCCGAUACUGGCAGGCUUGAAUCCGGGAGAGGGAUGCGGAAUUCCAGGUGUAGCGGUGAAAUGCGUAGAUAUCUGGAGGAACACCGGUGGCGAAGGCGGCAUCCUGGACCGGCAUUGACGCUGAGGCGCGAAAGCCAGGGGAGCAAACGGG
rnacentral:rRNA from 1 species